rnacentral:sRNA from 1 species
CUCAGAGCAUCUGCAGGAACCACACCACACUCUGGAGGCCAUGCUGCGGCCCAAAGUCACCACGCUGCCAGGUCACAUCCAGGCUGUGUAUGUGCAGAACGUGGUCAAGCUGUACGCCUCCAUCCUGCAGCAGAAGGAGCAGGCCGGGGAGGCAGAGGGUGCCCAGGCCGUCACCCAGCUCAUGGUGGACCGGCUGCCCCAGUUUGUGCAGAGCGCAGACCUGGAGGUGCAGGAGCGGGCGUCCUGCAUCCUGCAGCUGGUCAAGCACAUCCAGAAGCUUCAGGCCAAGGACGUGCCUGUGGCAGAGGAGGUCAGCGCUCUCUUUGCUGGGGAGCUGAACCCCGUGGCCCCCAAGGCCCAGAAGAAGGUUCCAGUCCCCGAAGGGCGCGUGCUCGGUCACACACUGCCUUGUGUGACCCUCCUGUCCGGCGCAGCCUGGACCUGGAUGCCUGGAUCAAUGAGCCACUCUCGGACAGCGAGUCAGAGGACGAGAGGCCCAGGGCCGUCUUCCACGAGGAGGAGCAGCGGCGCCCCAAGCACCGGCCGUCUGAGGCGGACGAGGAAGAGCUGGCUCGGCGCCGAGAGGCCCGGAAGCAGGAGCAGGCCAACAACCCCUUCUACAUCAAGAGCUCACCGUCGCCACAGAAGCGGUACCAGGACACCCCGGGCGUGGAGCACAUUCCUGUGGUGCAGAUUGACCUCUCCGUCCCGUUGAAGGUUCCAGGGCUGCCCAUGUCGGACCAGUACGUGAAGCUGGAGGAGGAGCGGCGGCACCGGCAGAAGCUGGAGAAGGACA